rnacentral:rRNA from 1 species
CGCGGCCUAUCAGCUUGUUGGUGGGGUAACGGCCUACCAAGGCGGUGACGGGUAGCUGGCGUGAGAGCGUGGCCAGCCACACUGGGACUGAGACACGGCCCAGACUCCUACGGGAGGCAGCAGUGGGGAAUAUUGCACAAUGGGCGCAAGCCUGAUGCAGCGACGCCGCGUGAGGGAUGACGGCCUUCGGGUUGUAAACCUCUUUCAGUAGGGAAGAGGCGAAAGUGACGGUACCUGCAGAAGAAGCGCCGACUAACUACGUGCCAGCAGCCGCGGUAAUACGUAGGGCGCGAGCGUUGUCCGGAAUUAUUGGGCGCAAAGGGCUCGUAGGCGGUUUGUCACGUCGGGAGUGAAAACUCGGGGCUUAACCCCGAGCCUGCUUCCGAUACGGGCAGACUAGAGGUAUGCAGGGGAGAACGGAAUUCCUGGUGUAGCGGUGAAAUGCGCGGAUAUCAGGAGGAACACCGGUGGCGAAGGCGGGUCUCUGGGCAGUAACUGACGCUGAGGAGCGAAAGCGUGGGGAGCGAACAGGAUUAGAUACCCUGGUAGUCCACGCCGUAAACGGUGGGUGCUAGGUGUGAGCGGUAUUCCACGCCGUUCGUGCCGCGGCUAACGCAUUAAGCACCCCGCCUGGGGAGUACGG